rnacentral:rRNA from 1 species
GAUGAACGCUGGCGGCGUGCCUAAUACAUGCAAGUCGAGCGAAUGGAUUAAGAGCUUGCUCUUAUGAAGUUAGCGGCGGACGGGUAAGUAACACGUGGGUAACCUGCCCAUAAGACUGGGAUAACUCCGGGAAACCGGGGCUAAUACCGGAUAACAUUUUGAACCGCAUGGUUCGAAAUUGAAAGGCGGCUUCGGCUGUCACUUAUGGAUGGACCCGCGUCGCAUUAGCUAGUUGGUGAGGUAACGGCUCACCAAGGCAACGAUGCGUAGCCGACCGGGGAGGGUGAUCGGCCACACUGGGACUGAGGCACGGCCCAGACUCCUACGGGAGGCAGCAGUAGGUAAUCUUCCGCAAUGGACGAAAGUCUGACGGAGCAACGCCGCGUGAGUGAUGAAGGCUUUCGGGUCGUAAAACUCUGUUGUUAGGGAAGAACAAGUGCUAGUUGAAUAAGCUGGCACCUUGACGGUACCUAACCAGAAAGCCACGGCUAACUACGUGCCAGCCGCCGCGGUAA